GGGUUUUCUUCCACCCAAUUGUCCAAUUUCUCUGACUUUCACGCUCCUUUGCUCUCACUGUUUCUUCUUUCUCUUCCUCUUACACUCAUCCUUUCCCAAGUUUCUAUACCUAAUCUUCAAUCCGCAAUUCUUCAUGGAUUGCAGUAAUUUCUGAGAGGAAAGCUUUCGUUUGUGGGGUUGCUUUUCACUUUGCAGUUCGUCGUCUGGGUGUCAGUUGCAAAUUCUAGGUUGAAUAGAUAUGACAACCAUGAACCCUUUUGAUCUCUUGGUCGACGACGACAACGAGGACCCUAAUCAGCUUGCUUCUGCUCAGCGGUCCGCACCGGCACUCCCGUCUAAGAAAGCCCCUGCUCCGGUUCAGCCUGCCAAACCAGCGAAGCUUCCUUCCAAGCCGCUCCCUCCUGCUCAGGCUGUAAGGGAGUCAAAGAAUGAAAAUAGCCGUGGUCGUGGAGGUGGACGUGGCUUUGGGCGAGGGCGUGGUGGUGGUGGAGGAUUCAAUAGAGACUCAGCCAACAAUGAAAAUGGUGGCAGGAAUGGAUUCUCUGAUCGUUACCAGGCACCUGAGGAUGGUGAAAAGGCAGCUGAAAGGCGUGGUUAUGGUGGCCCCCGUGGAUCUUUCCGGGGUCCUCGUCGUGGAGGCUUCAGCAAUGGUGAAGCAGAAGAAGGGGAACGACCCCGAAGAGUAUAUGAACGCCGCAGUGGAACUGGACGCGGAAAUGAGUUUAAGCGUGAUGGGGCUGGUCGAAGGAACUGGGGAGCUCCUGGUGAUGAAAAUGCCCCGGAUGUGGAAGAGCCUGUUGCUGAAAAUGAGAAGAAUGUUGCUACAGAGCAACAAUUGGGAGAGGAUGGAGUUGUUGAUGAUAACAACAAAGCCGAGGAGGCCGUGAAGGAACCAGAAGAGAAGGAGCCUGAGGAUAAGGAGAUGACCCUCAAAGAGUAUGAGAAGCUCCGAGAAGAGAGUAGGAAACUGCUGGCUAAGACUGAAGUGAGAAAGGCCAAAGUGGAUGAGGAAUUAGAGAACAUGCAGCAGCUUUCCAGCAAGAAAACCAAUGAUGAAAUCUUUGCUAAAUUGGGUACUGAUAAGGAUAAGCGCAAGGACAUUGCUGACAAGGAGGAGAAAGCUAAGAAAUCUGUGACUAUAACUGAGUUCCUGAAGCCUGCGGAAGGUGAGAGGUACUACAACCCCGGUGGCCGUGGUAGAGGCCGUGGGCGAGGCUCUCGAGGUGGGUUCAAUAACGGAAGCAACAGAAUGAAUGUGGCAGCCCCCUCCAUUGAAGAUCCCGGACAGUUUCCUUCAUUGAGUGCUAAGUGAGAAUUUUACCACUUAAAAUCCCUAUUUUGUCACUACAUUUUAAAGUUUUCUUGAGAUAAUCAGAUCAGGAUUUUUGAGUUACAAUUACCAACAGGAUUCUGAAACUCCCUCUCUAAUGCUCUGCUAUGUAGUGUAAAUCUUGGAUGUUAUGGUCUUGAACGGUCGUAAGUUAUGC
rnacentral:misc_RNA from 1 species